rnacentral:tRNA from 1 species
UCCCUGGUGGUCCAGGGACUAAGACUCCACACUUUGAAUGCGGUGGGCACAGGUUCAAUCCCUGGUCAGAGAA